rnacentral:rRNA from 1 species
UACGUAGGUGGCGAGCGUUGUCCGGAAUCAUUGGGCGUAAAGCGCGUGUAGGCGGCUCGAUAAGUCUGCUGUGAAAGUUCAGGGCUCAACCCUGAAAUGCCGGUGGAAACUGUCGAGCUAGAGUCCGGAAGAGGCGAGUGGAAUUCCUGGUGUAGCGGUGAAAUGCGCAGAUAUCAGGAGGAACACCAAUGGCGAAGGCAGCUCGCUGGGACGGUACUGACGCUGAGGAGCGAAAGCGUGGGGAGCGAACAGG